rnacentral:rRNA from 1 species
AUUGAACGCUGGCGGCAUGCCUUACACAUGCAAGUCGAACGGCAGCACGGGGGCAACCCUGGUGGCGAGUGGCGAACGGGUGAGUAAUGCAUCGGAACGUGCCCAGUAGUGGGGGAUAACUAGUCGAAAGAUUAGCUAAUACCGCAUACGACCUAUGGGUGAAAGCGGGGGAUUCGCAAGAACCUCGCGCUAUCGGAGCGGCCGAUGUCUGAUUAGCUAGUUGGCGGGGUAAGAGCCCACCAAGGCUUCGAUCAGUAGCUGGUCUGAGAGGACGACCAGCCACACUGGGACUGAGACACGGCCCAGACUCCUACGGGAGGCAGCAGUGGGGAAUUUUGGACAAUGGGCGCAAGCCUGAUCCAGCCAUGCCGCGUGCGGGAAGAAGGCCU